CGCAUUAAGCACCCCGCCUGGGGAGUACGGCCGCAAGGCUAAAACUCAAAGGAAUUGACGGGGGCCCCGCACAAGCGGUGGAGCAUGUGGUUCAAUUCGACGCAACGCGCAGAACCUUACCUGGGCUAGAAAAUGCAGGAGCCUGGCCGAAAGGUCGGGGUGCUCUUCGGAGAACCUGUAGUUAGGUGCUGCAUGGCUGUCGUCAGCUCGUGUCGUGAGAUGUUGGGUUAAGUCCCCGCAACGAGCGCAACCCUUGUCGUUAGUUGCCAGCGGUUCGGCCGGGCACUCUAGCGAGACUGCCGAUAUUUAAAUCGGAGGAAGGUGGGGAUGACGUCAAGUCCUCAUGGCCCUUAUGUCCAGGGCUACACACGUGCUACAAUGGCCGGUACAAACGGUUGCGAACCCGCGAGGGGGAGCUAAUCCGAAAAAACCGACCUCAGUACGGAUAAGAGUCUGCAACUCGACUCUUUGAAGUUGGAAUCGCUAGUAAUCCCUGAUCAGCAGGCAGGGGUGAAUACGUU
rnacentral:rRNA from 1 species